GGUAAAACCUUGCACAGAAAAAUAAUGACCAGAUCCUGAAUUACAUAUUUUUCAAAGGAAAGCUAGUUAUUAGAUGAGGAUAAAACCUGGGGUUCUCCCAUUAGGGAAUGGAUUCCGGCCAAGAAAUCCAUGUUAAUAUCAUCCUUGCUCCAUUCGCUUUAAAACUUUUAAGAAUAUUUGGCUUCUGGAUAGCGUCGGAAAACGGAAGGAACAAAUAAUCUCUAUUACUAGAGAGCCGGCUUUUCCUGAGGGAGAGCUAAAUGUGCGCUACACAUGUGAAUCCUUUUAAAGAAAUUGCUCGGGGCUGGGGAAUUUCCAAUCCCAACGUCCCUUAACCCGCCGAUGAGCCGGACACACAUCUGUUCUUUAACUGCGCAGUAUUUCGAAUCUAAACAAGCCCUUCCACAAAGAAGGGCCUGCUCUCGAGGCCGUGAUUUUGGCUUAAGUGAGCCUUUUCGCCGCCGCAUGCAUUUUCUCUUGGGACCGGGAGAGAGCCAUCUCCCGGCAGCAUCCCGCAUCCAGAUCGCCCGCAGCAGCCUGCGCUGCAGUGACACAGUAUGGCCACUAGAUGGCGGGAGGGGACUGAGUUGGGCCACCGGCGGCGGUUCCUUUCUCCCUGCAGGGAGAGGAACACUUUUGUUUCUCUGCUUUUUCUUCCUGCCCCUUUGUUUGACUUCACCAUUUUCUGUGUCGCUUCCUCUCCGCUGUAGUUACAUCGUGGCUGGCUUUUCAGCACCUCCGUCAUAGGAAAGCCGGCCCGGCCCCAUUUCGGGCCUCGUGGACUGGGCGCACAUAGAGCUCUUGGGAUGACCCUGGCUCUCCCACGCCCAGCGCAAGCAUUUGCUCCAGAUACUUGGUGCAAUUCUUUUUCGUUGUUACCCAGUCUCCGGCCAGCUGUCCCUACAUCAGAAUGAGGCUAUGCUUUACCCUGCAUUAACUUGUGGGUAGGGGGUGGGGAGGGGCGGGAGUAGUGCUGUUCAUGCAGGUAUUACCAAAAAAAAAAAAAAAGGCAGCUUCAGACCACUUGAAUCAGAAUGUUAUAAUCUUGUGACCAGGGUUGGAAAAAAGAAAGAUUUUAUUGAAAGAAUGCAGACCAAAUGGACCCCAGACCUGUCAUGUCUCCACACUGCACUGCAAUUGGCCUUUCACCGUAAGGAAACCAGAAAGGAGUUCCGAGGGGGCCAGAAGAAGCCAGCAGCUGUGAUAGCUUUUUUUAAAAAGGACAUUGGAAAGAGCCCAUGAGUUUUAUUUUAUAAAUGACUUAAUCAUCUGAGAAACCAAGUCAAUUGGAACUGCCAGAGCUCCAGGGAGGCAUGGAGUCAGAAAGGACCUCAGCAGAAGGCCUUUAUCAGCACCUCCAUACUUCACUUGGUGAGAGAAUCCUGCCCCGUGACCACACAGUCCCCUGCUUCCAGUCUUCUAAAGCGGGGCCUCCCUGGGCCUCUGCCAGAAAAUUCCUUGUGCAGUCUGAGUGGUGCUUACCUGGGUUUACAUCCCAGUUGUGCUAAGUUUCUAGCUUAGUUUCCUCCUCUAUUAAAUGCUGAUGAUAAUGGCACCUAGCUCAUGGGGUUUUACUUGGAGGAUCACGUGGAAAAAUGAAAGUCAAGGGCUCAGUGCAGUACUUGGCCCAUAUAUAGUGCCCCUAAGUGGUUAUUAACAUUCACUCGGGCCUGUAUUGGCAGCCUGUUUACAUCAGGUGGAGUCGCGGUUUAAGGAAACACCUCAGCGUCAAUGAUGGAAACGUUUCAUAAGGAAAACCCAAGCAGGUGUGAAACGAAAAGUCCUGCCCUUUCCAGCUUGUGCCCCCACAACUCUCACACACACUUGGGGUAAACCAGGUCAGGAGAGGCCGAGUUCCUCGGCUCACCACCUCCUGUCCUUGGUGGCGGCAGUGUGAUUGACAGUUCUAAGGGGAGAGUGCCCAGACUCGGUUGUUUCAGCUGACCUUCCCUGUGAGUUUUCAGGUUGAAGUGAAAUCCAAUGGGCUGUGAACUGAAACUCAAGAAUAUCUUCUGGAAAGUCCCAUGGUGCUGAGCUCAGGUGAGGAGCCCAUAGGAGGGGAGUCACCAAGGUAAAUCAUGGCGAAGAUGUCAGGGAGCUAGACCUGUACAGGCCCUCCCCACUGGUGGAAAUCAACACAACCCAUCACCAUGAGCCCUUGAAGCAUUGUUUGGAUCGGAGGCAAUAGGAGGAGACUAGAGGAGGGCUCCUUAACUAUUUGGGAUUCACCAUGAAGAAUUUUUGGCCUUAUUGUUCUGGCAUCUGUAUUGUAGGUUGUCUUCACUUUUAAAUAUUAGGCAGCUCACAGUACUAUAA
ensembl:lncRNA